UCUGAUGCAGCGAUGCCGCGUGAGUGAAGAAGGCCCUUGGGUUGUAAAGCUCUUUCGUCGGGGAAGAAAAUGACUGUACCCGAAUAAGAAGGUCCGGCUAACUUCGUGCCAGCAGCCGCGGUAAUACGAAGGGACCUAGCGUAGUUCGGAAUUACUGGGCUUAAAGAGUUCGUAGGUGGUUGAAAAAGUUGGUGGUGAAAUCCCAGAGCUUAACUCUGGAACUGCCAUCAAAACUUUUCGGCUAGAGUAUGAUAGAGGAAAGCAGAAUUUCUAGUGUAGAGGUGAAAUUCGUAGAUAUUAGAAAGAAUACCAAUUGCGAAGGCAGCUUUCUGGAUCAUUACUGACACUGAGGAACGAAAGCAUGGGUAGCGAAGAGGAUUAGAUACCCUCGUAGUCCAUGCCGUAAACGAUGUGUGUUAGACGUUGGAAAUUUAUUUUCAGUGUCGCAGCGAAAGCGAUAAACACACCGCCUGGGGAGUACGACCGCAAGGUUA
rnacentral:rRNA from 1 species